GAUGAACGCUGGCGGCGUGCCUAAUACAUGCAAGUCGAACGAAGAUCUAGCUUGCUAGAUCUUAGUGGCGAACGGGUGAGUAAUACAUAAAUAAUCUGCCCAUAUGACUGGGAUAACUAUUGGAAACGAUAGCUAAUACCGGAUAGGUUGAUUGGAGGCAUCUCUGAUUAAUUAAAGUAGGAUUUCUACACAAAUGGAUGAGUUUAUGGCGCAUUAGUUAGUUGGUGGGGUAACGGCCUACCAAGACGAUGAUGCGUAGCCGACCUGAGAGGGUAACCGGCAAAACAGAGACUGAGAAACGGCCCAGAAUCCUACGGGAGGGAGAAGUAGGGAAUUUUCGGCAAGGGGCGCAAGCCUGCCCGGGCAACGCCGCGUGAGUGAUUAAGGCCUUCGGGUUGUAAAGCUCUGUUGUAAGGGAAGAACAUUCAGGAUAGGAAAUGAUCUUGAACUGACGGUACCUUACCAGAAAGCAACGGCUAACUACGUGCCAGCCGCCGCCGUAACAC
rnacentral:rRNA from 1 species